AGCUAGUUGGUAGGGUAAAGGCCUACCAAGGCGACGAUCUGUAGCUGGUCUGAGAGGACGAACAGCCACACUGGGACUGAGACACGGCCCAGACUCCUAUGGGAGGCAGCAGUGGGGAAUAUUGGACAAUGGGCGAAAGCCUGAUCCAGCAAUGCCGCGUGUGUGAAGAAGGCCUGCGGGUUGUAAAGCACUUUCAGUUGGGAAGAUGAUGACGUUACCAACAGAAGAAGCACCGGCUAACUCCGUGCCAGCAGCCGCGGUAAUACGGAGGGUGCAAGCGUUAAUCGGAAUUACUGGGCGUAAAGCGCGCGUAGGCGGCUAGGUCAGUCAGAUGUGAAAGCCCCGGGCUUAACCUGGGAACUGCAUUUGAUACUGCCUGGCUAGAGUGUGGUAGAGGGAAGUGGAAUUCCAGGUGUAGCGGUGAAAUGCGUAGAUAUCAGGAGGAACACCAGUGGCGAAGGCGACUUCCUGGACCAACACUGACGCUGAGGUGCGAAAGCGUGGGUAGCAAACAGGAUUAGAUACCCUGGUAGUCCACGCCGUAAACGAUGUCAACUAGCCGUCGGAUCCAUUUAAGGGUUUGGUGGCGCAGCCAACGCGAUAAGUUGACCGCCUGGGGAGUACGGCCGCAAGGUUAAAACUCAAAGGAAUUGACGGGGGCCCGCACAAGCGGUGGAGCAUGUGGUUUAAUUCGAUACAACGCGAAGAACCUUACCAGCCCUUGACAUCCUCGGAACUUUCCAGAAAUGGAUUGGUGCCUUCGGGAACCGAGUGACAGGUGCUGCAUGGCUGUCGUCAGCUCGUGUCGUGAGAUGUUGGGUUAAGUCCCGUAACGAGCGCAACCCUUGUCCUUAGUUGCCAGCACAUAAUGGUGGGAACUCUAAGGAGACUGCCGGUGACAAACCGGAGGAAGGUGGGGAUGACGUCAAGUCAUCAUGACCCUUAUGGGCUGGGCUACACACGUGCUACAAUGGCCGGUACAGUGGGCUGCAAACCCGCGAGGGGGAGCCAAUCUCACAAAACCGGUCGUAGUCCGGAUCGCAGUCUGCAACUCGACUGCGUGAAGUCGGAAUCGCUAGUAAUCGCAGAUCAGAAUGCUGCGGUGAAUACGUUCCCGGGCCUUGUACACACCGCCCGUCACACCAUGGGAGUGGGUUGCAAAAGAAGUGGGUAGCCUAACCUUCGGGAGGGCGCUCACCACUUUGUGAUUCAUGACUGGGGUGAAGUCGUAACAAGGUAGCCGUAGGGGAACCUGCGGCUG
rnacentral:rRNA from 1 species